rnacentral:rRNA from 1 species
CCUACGGGUGGCAGCAGUGAGGAAUAUUGGUCAAUGGGCGAAAGUCUGAACCAGCCAAGUCGCGUGAAGGAUGACUGCCCUAUGGGUUGUAAACUUCUUUUGUAUGGGAAUAAAGUGUUCCACGUGUGGGAUUUUGUAUGUACCAUAUGAAUAAAGAUCGGCUAACUCCGUUCCAGCAGCCUCGGGAAUAAGGGGGAUCCGCGCGUUAUCCGGAUUUAUUGGGGUUAAAGGGAGCGUAGGUGGGUUGUUAAGGCAGGUGUGAAAGUUUGCGGCUCAACCGUAAAAUUGCAGUGGAAACUGGCAGUCUUGAGUAGAGUAGAGGUGUGCGGAAUGCGUGGUGUAGCGGUGAAAUGCUUAGAUAUCACGCAGAACUCCGAUUGCGAAGGCAGCUUACUG